UUUUGCAUGUAGGAAUCUCCUCCAAUACCAGUCUUACAAGUCUCUCGUUAUAAAGUCUGUGCACGUGGCCUGCCCGUCUUACAGCCGGUUUCCGAAACGUUAUUCAAAUCUUCGAUCAUCUAAUCGAGCUGUUAGAUUUGAUCAACUGUUAACCAGUGACGAGUUUCUCAAACGUCGAUCAUCUUAAAAUUAUAUGAUCGUAGAAAAUCGAUUAUCUGACAUACGAUUUGGUAUCGAUACUGUCACAAUCGGCUGUCAUCCUUCAAAAUUUCAUUUUAUAACCAAAAAAUUUCAAUCCUUAGUAAAUAACUACAUAAUUUAUAUAAUUAAAAAAUAUAUUAAAAAUGAGCAAUACCAACGGAAAUCCUCCACGCAAAAAUUAUACUGAGAGAGAGAGAGAAAUGUUUGCUGUUGGAAAUAAUUGGAAAAUACAAGCAUAUUAAAUUGAAAACAAAUAAUGUACCAAUGCUAUGUCCACCAACCAAAACAAUGAAACCUGGGAAAAAAUAGCGCUGAAUUUCCCAGAACUCCCAAGCAGCUGAACACUGCAUAUAUAAACUUAAAAAGGGUCACUAGCCAAAAAGUAGCAGAGGAAAAUAUUCAAAAAUAUAAUGAGCAGAAGGUUUUGGACCAGUUGAAGAGAGACCAAACUGCGGACAAAAAAGACAUACUUGCAACAGGUGGUGGCACAUUUAGGCCUCGUCUCACAGAUGUAGGGGCACAAAUGUUGAGUUUGAUUGGCAAUCAAAUCCAACCUUUACCCAACAGUUGUGACAGUGCAUCUGGUUUCUUCACAUCUGUUGCACAAGACAGUCAAGUGGAAGUAGAUUACCUACAAUUGGAAGACACAUAGCAGACGUCCAAUGUACCCUCUACUUCCACUGUGCUGCUCAGUACACCCACGACAACUGCUGUCCUGCCCAAGAAGACAGCCAAGAUGUCUCAGGCUCGUUCAAAAAAUAAAAAAGUAAAAGAUGUAGGGAGCGAAACCCUUAAUGUAUCUUUUACAAAAAAAAUUGAAACAGCAAGACUAGAAAAAAGAAGUAAGAUAGUAUUUUUCAACAAGAAAAAAAGAAAUUUUAGAAGUAGAGCUUCAAAUAAAAAAAUUCGAUCUCAAUAAAUUAUUCGGUAAUAGUGGUUAGGUAUGUACCUAAUAAAGUAAUUUUAAAU